AGGGAAGAAUGAUUCAUAAGGCAGAUGACAACAACAUGGAAUGGGUGGAAAGUGAUGGAAGAUAAAUUUAUAGCCUUGGUGAAAAUUUCAAGGAGAGAGGGAGUUUAUUUACAUCAGGAUUGCAAGAAGUAUACUUCAGCACAGUUGAGAUUUUUAAAUGUCCAUCAGAAAUUGUGUGAAUUCCAGAAUCAUUGUUCACUGCACUGCACGGCUGAUGUGCAUCAACUAUGAAUAUGAUCUAGACUUAACAGACAUCAUCAUGCCUAUGCCAGUCAUGGACAUUGACAUUGAAUAAAGAACAACAUGUUGUCACCCAUUACAUGACAAAUCUAACUCAGAUGUGAAAGGGGGGGGGGGGGUGACUCCAAAGCCGAUAGAUCUGCCACAUUGCUCAAGCUGCCAUUGAUUCUGGUAAGUUAACUUUUUUUUUAUCUUCCUGCACUAACAGAUACUGAAAUAUGCACUUAUGCAUAAAUACUCAUGGAUGAAAUUUUUAAAAUUUUACUUCUAUUUGAAUUUUUUAAGAUAUCAAUUUCCUCAAUGCACAAUUUUCUAGAUUAAAAUACUGUUACAACAUAUUUAGGAAAUACAAUGAAAUUUUAAUAUAUGUGUUUGGUGUUUACAGACAAGGCAAUACAUUGAGAAACACAAAAGUUGGGUCCAGAUUAAGACAGAUGUAAAGAAAGAGUUGAAAGAUGUGUUCUGAAGUAAGACAGCCAUACCCCUGCUUUCCAAGGAACCAAACAAUUACUUUCCUUGUAUCGACAUGGUGAAAAAUGGGGAGUGUCCAGAAAAUGACGAAGACCUCCAGAAUGUCAUCAGUGAUAUUGUUGCAAUUGAAUGUAGCCAAUUAUUAUCCAAUAUAUAUUAUCUAUGACUGAACUCAUAAGUGGUUAAGGAAAAAUGUUUUAAUUUUUUAUUCAGGUUAUUUAAUCCUUUAGGUUGAAAUAAAUAUCUACUGCUUGGAGGUUAUUUUACAUCUCUCAGGAUUUUCUAGAUGUCAGAUUUCCUAAAACUCACACUUUUGUUUCAUUUUUUUUUUUUUGAAUAAAUGUACAGAAAAAUUGAAUAUUCUUCUAUGGGAUAUUUUUGCCAAUAGUUUCAGUUGAAAGUUGCAACAACAACAACAAAAACAAAAACAAAACAAAAUAAACAAAAAAAAAAAAAUAAAAAAAAA